AUUUCAGCUACUGUAAAAGGUACUUGGCCGGGUGUGGUGGCUCAUGCUUGUGAUCUCAGCACUUUGGGAAGCCAAGGCGGGUGGAUCAUGAGGUCAGGAGUUUGAGACAAGCCUGGCCAACACAGUGAAACCUCGUCUGUACUAAAUAUAUAAAAAUUAGCUGGGCAUGGUGGUGUGUGCCUGUAAUCCCAACUACUUGGGAGGCUGAGGCAGGAGAAUUGCUUGAACCUGGGAGGCGGAGAUUGCAGUGAGCUGAGAUUAUGCCACUGCUCUCUGGCCUGGGUGACAGAGCUAGACUCCGUCUCAAAAAGGGCCAGUCGUGGUGACUCAUGCCUGUAAUCACAGCACUUUGGAAGGCGGAUCACCUGAGGUCAGGAGUUUGAGACCAGCCUGCCCAACAUGGAGAAACCCCAUCUCUACUAAAAAUACAAAAAAUUACCUCCAGAGUAGCUGGGACUACAGGCGCCCGUCACCAGGCCGGCUAAUUUUGUUUUUGUAUUUUUAGUAGAGACGGGGUUUCACCGUGUUGGCCAGGAUGGUCUCGAUCUCCUGACCUCGUGAUCCACCCGCCUCAGCCCUCCAAAGUGCUGGGAUUACAGGUGUGAGCCACUGUUCCCGGCCAGGAAUAGAUUUUAAAUGUUCUCACUAUAAAAAAAUAAGUAUCUGCAGUGAUGGAUAUGUUAAUUAGCUUAAUCAUUCUUCAAUGUGUAUGUAUAUAAAAUACCACAUUGUACUUCAUAAGUAGAUAUAAUUAUUAUUUGUCAAAAAUAAAAAUUUAAGUAAAAAAGUAAAUCAGGUUCCCCAGUUAUUCUCUUUCAUAGGAUCCGUGUCUUACCAUGUUGUAUUUGUGUUAGAUUAAUUUGAUGUGUACUUCUUACACUAGACUGAACUUUAUGAAAGUAGGGAUCAUGUGUGUUUUAAUCAUUACUUAAUCCCUAGCAUAGAACAUGACAGCUACAUGUAGUAGGCUCCCAAUACAUCUUUGUUUACUCAGUGUCAGACAAAGCAGGUUUGGAACCCAAAUAUUCUGACUCCAAGGUCCUGCCUCCCAGUACUGAUAAGAACUAGGAAAGAAGCUAACACUUACUAGGUACCUUAAAGAACUAGUUUUCUAAAGAAUUCUCUCUGGGAAAUGCUGGUUUAAGAUAAAUGUAAGACUUUCCAUUUUACAAACACUUUUAGGCAAGCGCUUUGCUUCUGGAUCAGCUGACAAAAGCGUUAUUAUCUGGACAUCAAAACUGGAAGGCAUUCUGAAGUACACGUAAGUAACUUAGGUGUACAGUAUUAUGAGUUUGAUGCUUAUUGAAUAAUUGCAGCAAAAGCCUCUUAGAAAAGAUGUAGGAGAAAACUUUUUUCUCUUAAAUUGAACUUGAAAUUAAGUUGUGGGUGUGUGUGGUUGGUAUAGGAAGGUUGAGUAGUGAAUAAGUUAAUGAAUAUUUCUUGGCCACUUACUGGCGUGGCCAGCACUGGGCUAGGUGCUUUUAUGUAGCUCAUCUCAGUUCAUCUGACAUUGUAGACUUUAUCCCACCCCCAACCUGUCAUCUUCCAGUGUCCCUGUCUCAGAGAAUGGCCUUAUAUCCACCCAGUGUCAAAUGUCAGAAACUUGGGGUCAGUGUGCUCCAGGCCUCCUCUUACUAUUGGGGAUCUGCCGUGUUCUUCCCCUGUUCCUCUACUAGUUGGUCCCUAUUUACCCUGCAGAUCUCAGACUCAAAUGUCAGUUUCUUUGUAAGGACUUUCCUGCCUCUCUAGACUGGAACAGGUCUCUUUCGAGGCAUUUCUCACAAUUGCAGUUUUAGGUUUAUUCUGGUGACUGAUCAGUAUUGCUCAUCGGCCUGUAAGUUCCAUAAGAACAGAUACUGCAUCUAUUUUUUGUUUUGUUUUGUUUUGUUUUGAGACAGAGUCUUGCUCUGUUGCCCAGGCUGGAGUGCAGUGGCACGAUCUCGGCUCACCGCAAGCUCCACCUCCCAGGUUCACGCCAUUCUCCUGCCUCAGCCUCCCGAGUAGCUGGGACUAUAGGCGCUCACCACCAUGCCAGGCUAAUUUUUUGUAUUUUUAGUAGAGAUGGGGUUUCACCAUGUUAGCUAGGAUGGUCUCGAUCUCCUGACUACAUCUAUUUUUUUUUUCUCACUCUUGUGUCCCUGAUACAAUGCCUAGCCCAUAAUUGGUACUCACCAAUUUUCCUUCCUUCCUUCUUUCCUUCCUUCCUUCCUUCCUUCCUUC
rnacentral:lncRNA from 10 species